rnacentral:rRNA from 2 species
GAACGCUGGCGGCAGGCUUANCACANGCAAGUCGANCGNGAAGCUAGAGCUUGCUNUAGUGGAAAGUGGCAGACGGGUGAGUAACGCGUGGGAAUCUACCUANUGGUACGGGAUAACGUUUGGAAACGAACGCUAAUACCGUAUACGCCCUUCGGGGGAAAGAUUUAUCGCCAUUAGAUGAGCCCGCGUUAGAUUAGCUNGUUGGUGAGGUAAAAGCUCACCAAGGCUCCGAUCUAUAGCUGGUCUGAGAGGAUGAUCAGCCACACUGGGACUGAGACACGGCCCAGACUCCUACGGGAGGCAGCAGUGGGGAAUAUUGCACAAUGGGCGCAAGCCUGAUGCAGCCAUGCCGCGUGAGUGAAGAAGGCCUUAGGGUUGUAAAACUCUUU